UUUUUCUUCUCGCGCAACUCCAGUUUAGUCGAGGCUGUCAUUUUCCCCAGGUCACUAGAGUUCGUCAACCCUACAGAUUUGUGGUCAUUCACGCCAUCUAUGUUUAGCCAGCACUUAGACCGCCAUCCGUCGUCACAACCACGCCGUCACCACUGAUCAACAGCCACACCUUUGAAAUCGAGCCAGCCGCUAGUCUUCAUCAGUGUUGCCAGAUUUGCCAGCUGUGCCUUCACACCAGUCACUGUCGAUCCAGCGCCGUCACCGCUACCAUUGCUUUGGGUUUUCACUGGAAUCUUGGAUUUGGAUUAAAGGGUUGAAGUGUGGUUGAUUGCUGUCCAGCAGGUUCGGGGUUGAUUUCGAUAUGACUUUGUUUGUGUUUUAUCGAGUUCUCGAUGUCUGUCCAGCAGAGUUGGAGGUUUUUCCGGCAGCUAAUAGUUAUUGGGUAAAUUAACCGGAGAUAUUUGAGAUAAAUUUAGACGAUUGGAAUUAGGCCUUAAUUAUUGAUUUUAAAGUUAGUUUAUAAUUUUAGGGCUUGACUCAAGAUCUUAUUAGGCAAAAAGGAAAUAAGCUUGUUGGAUCACAUUUGGGCUUAAUUCCAAGGUAAGUAAUCUUACUAUUGGAACCGCCUUGAGCCAGGUGAUAUAGAUUGUGUGAUAAUUUUAUGUUUUGUUUGGAUGCUAUUGAGAAACAUGGCCAAAUACGUGAAUAAAGUAGUUUUACGAGCAUGAAGUUAUUGUAUAUGACUAAUAUGAUCAAGUGUGGGACUUUGAGACAUGUAUAUUGUGGAUGAUAUUGUUGAUAUGUUAGCUGCUAGAUAAGAAAGUGAAGGUUUGUCCUCUUAACACCAUUAUAUUACAACUCCUAGGACUGAUGGGUUCACCAUUAUAUUAUAGUUCCAUGGAUCGAUAGAUUCACCAUUAUGUUACAGCUAUGUGGACCAAUGGGUUCACCAUCAUAUUACCGCUUUGUGGGCCGACGGCUUCACUACUAUGUUACAAUUCCGUGGACUGAUGGGUUCACUACUAUGUUACAAUUCUGUGGAUUGACGGGUUCACUUUUAUAUUAUUAUGUGAGCCUUCGGGCUACCAGAUAUGUGUUAGUAUGAGUUAAGUCAUUCACUGAACGACCAUUUAUGUAUGGUUGAUUUAUGUGAGUCCACUAGCAUGUUUACAUUUAUUGGAUAUAAAUGCACAGUCUGACCACGGUAAUGGGCUUACUUAUUGAGUAUUUUUAUACUUAUCGUGGUAUGUUUUCAGGUAAAUAUAAGGACAGAUCGGGGAAUGAUAAGAAGAAUCCGUAAUUGUACUAUUGGGGCCAAAUAGAUACUUCUGCUCAUGUUUUCAUGUUUGAAAUGAGUCUUAGUAUUCAAAAUUCUAGAAUUUUUAUGUUAAACUUUUAAAGUCUUAAAUGUUUUUUGAUUUUAUCUUAUAUUUUUAAGGGGACUCGAGCAAAUGUAUUAAGUUAUUAGUGAGAUUUUAUUAACAUAUGAAAUCAUUUUACUUUUAU